CCAGUUGUGACUAGUCGGUAGCAAAUGACUGUUAAUCAUUGGCUCCCUGGUUCGAGUCCAGGUCGUGGAGCCA
rnacentral:tRNA from 11 species